CCUUUAGAUGUUCUGGGCCGCACGCGCGCUACACUGAUGCAUUCAACGAGUUUCUUCCUGGUCCGAGAGGAAUGGGUAACCUUUUGAAAGUGCAUCGUGAUAGGGAUAGACUAUUGCAAUUAUUGGUCUUCAACGAGGAAUUCCUAGUAGACGUAGUUCAUCAGACUGCAUCGAUUACGUCCCUGCCCUUUGUACACACCGCCCGUCGCUCCUACCGAUUGAAUGCUCAGGUGAGCCAUUCGGACUUUCAUCAUGCUGGCUUCCAGUUUUGAUGAAGGAAAGUCUUGCGAACCUUAUCAUUUAGAGGAAGGAGAAGUCGUAACA
rnacentral:rRNA from 1 species